AUUGAACGCUGGCGGCGGGCCUAACACAUGCAAGUCGAACGCGUGGCGGACGGGUGAGAAAUGUCUGGGACCCUGCCUGAAGGAUGGGGUUAACUCCUGAAACCGGUACCAAUUACGGCAUACCAUCGGCUUUGACCAGAUGGUAUUAGCUAGUAGGUGGGGUAAAGGCUAACGUAGGCGACGAUCCCUAGCUGGUCUGAGAGGGUGACCGGCCACACUGGAACUGAGACACGGUCCAGACUCCUACGGGAGGCAGCAGUGGGGAAUAUUGCACAAUGGGCGAAAGCCUGAUGCAGCCAUGCCGCGUGUAUGAAGAAGGCCUUCGGUUUGUAAAGUUCUUUCAGCGGGGAAGCGUUACCCGCAGAGGAAGCACCGGCUAACUCCGUGCCAGCAGCCGCGGUAAUAC
rnacentral:rRNA from 1 species